UACGUAGGGUGCGAGCGUUAAUCGGAAUUACUGGGCGUAAAGCGUGCGCAGGCGGCAUCGCAAGUCAGGCGUGAAAUCCCCGAGCUUAACUUGGGAAUUGCGCUUGAAACUACGAUGCUCGAGUGUGGCAGAGGGAGGUGGAAUUCCACGUGUAGCGGUGAAAUGCGUAGAUAUGUGGAGGAACACCGAUGGCGAAGGCAGCCUCCUGGGCUAACACUGACGCUCAUGCACGAAAGCGUGGGGAGCAAACAGG
rnacentral:rRNA from 1 species